rnacentral:rRNA from 1 species
GUCUACAGCCAUGAUGCCCUGAACGCGCCUGAUCUCGUCUGAUCUUGGAAGUUAAGCAAGGUCAGGCCUGGUUAGUACUUGGAGGGGAGACAACCUUGGAAUACUAGGUGCUGUAGGCG